rnacentral:rRNA from 1 species
ACUGUGUGUUGUUGGGUAGGGGAGCGUUCUGUAAGCCUGUGAAGGUGGCCUGUGAGGGUUGCUGGAGGUAUCAGAAGUGCGAAUGCUGACAUAAGUAACGAUAAAGCGGGUGAAAAGCCCGCUCGCCGGAAGACCAAGGGUUCCUGUCCAACGUUAAUCGGGGCAGGGUGAGUCGACCCCUAAGGCGAGGCCGAAAGGCGUAGUCGAUGGGAAACGGGUUAAUAUUCCCGUACUUGGUGUUACUGCGAAGGGGGGACGGAGAAGGCUAUGUUGGCCGGGCGACGGUUGUCCCGGUUUAAGCGUGUAGGUGUGUGUUCCAGGUAAAUCCGGUUCACUUUAACACUGAGGCGUGACGACGAGGCACUACGGUGCUGAAGCAACAAAUGCCCUGCUUCCAGGAAAAGCCUCUAAGCAUCAGGUAACAUCAAAUCGUACCCCAAACCGACACAGGUGGUCAGGUAGAGAAUACCAAGGCGCUUGAGAGAACUCGGGUGAAGGAACUAGGCAAAAUGGUGCCGUAACUUCGGGAGAAGGCACGCUGACAUGUAGGUGAAGUGAUUUACUCAUGGAGCUGAAGUCAGUCGAAGAUACCAGCUGGCUGCAACUGUUUAUUAAAAACACAGCACUGUGCAAACACGAAAGUGGACGUAUACGGUGUGACGCCUGCCCGGUGCCGGAAGGUUAAUUGAUGGGGUCAGCGCAAGCGAAGCUCCUGAUCGAAGCCCCGGUAAACGGCGGCCGUAACUAUAACGGUCCUAAGGUAGCGAAAUUCCUUGUCGGGUAAGUUCCGACCUGCACGAAUGGCGUAAUGAUGGCCAGGCUGUCUCCACCCGAGACUCAGUGAAAUUGAACUCGCUGUGAAGAUGCAGUGUACCCGCGGCAAGACGGAAAGACCCCGUGAACCUUUACUAUAGCUUGACACUGAACAUUGAGCCUUGAUGUGUAGGAUAGGUGGGAGGCUUUGAAGUGUGGACGCCAGUCUGCAUGGAGCCGACCUUGAAAUACCACCCUUUAAUGUUUGAUGUUCUAACGUGGACCCGUUACCCGGGUUGCGGACAGUGUCUGGUGGGUAGUUUGACUGGGGCGGUCUCCUCCUAAAGAGUAACGGAGGAGCACGAAGGUUGGCUAAUCCUGGUCGGACAUCAGGAGGUUAGUGCAAUGGCAUAAGCCAGCUUGACUGCGAGCGUGACGGCGCGAGCAGGUGCGAAAGCAGGUCAUAGUGAUCCGGUGGUUCUGAAUGGAAGGGCCAUCGCUCAACGGAUAAAAGGUACUCCGGGGAUAACAGGCUGAUACCGCCCAAGAGUUCAUAUCGACGGCGGUGUUUGGCACCUCGAUGUCGGCUCAUCACAUCCUGGGGCUGAAGUAGGUCCCAAGGGUAUGGCUGUUCGCCAUUUAAAGUGGUACGCGAGCUGGGUUUAGAACGUCGUGAGACAGUUCGGUCCCUAUCUGCCGUGGGCGCUGGAGAACUGAGGGGGGCUGCUCCUAGUACGAGAGGACCGGAGUGGACGCAUCACUGGUGUUCGGGUUGUCAUGCCAAUGGCACUGCCCGGUAGCUAAAUGCGGAAGAGAUAAGUGCUGAAAGCAUCUAAGCACGAAACUUGCCCCGA